GCGAGGAGCGUCUACCGACUCCAAUCAACGGGAAGAUGCUUCAAGGCCUGAUCCUUCUGCUUCAGGUCCGGAGUCUCAGGACAAUGCAGUUGCCGUCCCCGGACCUGUCAGCGGCGCCAAGAGGAUCUGGAUCGUGGGGCACUCCUAUGUGCAUUGGGCCUCCAUCCGUAGUUCCGCCCUUCCGGGGGGACAGAAUUUGGGCUUUCCUUUCACCCUAGAUUCAAUUAGAUGGUUAGGGAAGAGAGGGAUGUGUUGGCCCGCGCUUCCAUCGCGUAUUCCGGAGGCCCUAGUACGCUGGGGUAAACCUCAUGUUAUAAUUCUCCAUAUAGGGGGCAAUGAUUUGGGCGCCAUUCCGAUCUUGGAGCUAAUCAAGAUCAUGCAGGCGGAUAUCGCUUGGAUCAGGGCUCGGAUUCCGAAUGUGUUGGUCGGUUGGUCCAACAUAGUUCCCAGGCUGGAAUGGCAUCACAUGUCUAGCCACAGCGCUGCUUACUAGGUCAGGAAGAAGAUAAAUUCCUCAGUUGCUAGAACCGUCAUGGGUAAUGGGGGAUUCGUAGUUAAACACGAAUCCCUUACAGCCGACAAGGUCCAUUGUUAUAGAAUGGAUAGGGUUCAUUUAGAGACAGUUGCCCUAGAUAUUUUUAUAAAGGACAUUCGUAAGGCCAUAUUAACCCUCCUUUAAGUCCGGUUGGGUUGUGUUUGUCUUUUAUUGGUUGGCGGCACAGUUAUCAUCUCAAUGCUAUCUGGUGGCGGGAGGUAACGGCCCUGUUGCCUUGGAAAGGGUGAACGGGGGGAGUGAUGACCAGUCUAAAAGUGAGAGGGGUGGAUAGCCUCAAGUGCAUGUGAGGUGCCCCUCCUUCCCCUUGCGGGUGGGUCACGUGAUCUCAUUAACCCCUUAGUAGCAAUUUUACUAUGAGCAGAGGUCCCGCUCUGCUGCAGUUUCCGUUUGGGCCGUUUACCUUCUGCAGUGCUGGGUUGUCAUUAUAGCAUUCGUUCAGCCGCCAUCAUAACCUUGUUGGUUUCCAUGGUUACUUAUUUAAUUAAUAAAUGUUUAACCUGUGACGGUUAAAAAUUUUACCCACAAAAAGUUGUUGUGUUUUUAUUAUAGAGUUAAGUUGUUAUAUGUACCCUUCUACGGCUAGCGACCGAUAAGCAUUUAAUCCCUUAAGGCAGUGUAGGGCACAAUUGGGCCUGGAGCAAAGCUAAGGGUUAAAGCUGAAGGGAGAGAUAGGAGAAGAGGGCUGGCUAGGGAGGUUAGUUGCAACAAUGUUGCAUGCAAGGGAGGGGCCCACUACUCACCUUAAAAGUGGGGAUCAUCAGCUUCCUGGCCCUCUUCUUCCUGGAAUCCGGUGCAGACGAGUUCUUUUCCCCUCCCUCCCUUCCCUAUUACAAGAUGGCUUCCAAAUUUAUUUUAUUGUGCUAGGCGCUAAGAAUGCCUUCUCAGGCUAACUUAGUAGCCACAUAGUCAAUUGAGCAUUUCCAAAUUUAAAUUUUUCCCCUAGUUGGCGACGGGUAUGCCUAUUCAGGCUAACUUUGUCAGCCUCUUUAGUUAUUGGGCGUCUACCAUAUCCAGUCUACCUGGCUUUUGGCGGCUGAGUAGCGGAUCCCCUUUUCUAGGGGGUAGUCCCUAUUUUAUACCCUCUCGGCGGGAGGUAACGGCCCUGUUGCCUUGGAAAGGGUGAACGGGGGGAGUGAUGACCAGUCUAAAAGUGAGAGGGGUGGAUAGCCUCAAGUGCAUGUGAGGUGCCCCUCCUUCCCCUUGCGGGUGGGUCACGUGAUCUCAUUAACCCCUUAGUAGCAAUUUUACUAUGAGCAGAGGUCCCGCUCUGCUGCAGUUUCCGUUUGGGCCGUUUACCUUCUGCAGUGCUGGGUUGUCAUUAUAGCAUUCGUUCAGCCGCCAUCAUAACCUUGUUGGUUUCCAUGGUUACUUAUUUAAUUAAUAAAUGUUUAACCUGUGACGGUUAAAAAUUUUACCCACAAAAA